UACGGAGGGAGCUAGCGUUGUUCGGAAUUACUGGGCGUAAAGCGCGCGUAGGCGGCUUUGUAAGUUAGAGGUGAAAGCCCGGAGCUCAACUCCGGAACUGCCUUUAAAACUGCAUCGCUUGAAUCCAGGAGAGGUGAGUGGAAUUCCGAGUGUAGAGGUGAAAUUCGUAGAUAUUCGGAAGAACACCAGUGGCGAAGGCGGCGACCUGGGCCAAUAUUGACGCUGAGGUGCGAAAGCGUGGGGAGCAAACAGG
rnacentral:rRNA from 1 species